ensembl:miRNA Mir3080 microRNA 3080
GGUUUGAGAUCUGAAGCACCUGUUCUUGGAUCGUGGCCCUGUAGUCAUCCUCGGGCAAAGCGCUUGACAUCUCUGUGCC